rnacentral:rRNA from 1 species
UGGGGAAUCUUCCGCAAUGGGCGAAAGCCUGACGGAGCAACGCCGCGUGAAUGAAGAAGGCCUUCGGGUCGUAAAGUUCUGUCUUUUGGGAAGAAGGCCCAUGGGGUAAAUAAUCCUGUGGGAUGACAGUACCAGAGGAGGAAGCUCCGGCUAACUACGUGCCAGCAGCCGCGGUAAUACGUAGGGAGCGAGCGUUGUCCGGAAUUACUGGGCGUAAAGGGCGCGUAGGCGGGUAUUUAAGUCAGAUGUGAAAGCCCCGGGCUUAACUCGGGGAUUGCAUUUGAAACUGGGUAUCUUGAGGGCAGGAGAGGAAAGUGGAAUUCCUAGUGUAGCGGUGGAAUGCGUAGAUAUUAGGAGGAACACCAGUGGCGAAGGCGACUUUCUGGACUGUACCUGACGCUGAUGCGCGAAAGCAUGGGGAGCAAACG